rnacentral:rRNA from 1 species
CUACGGGUGGCUGCAGUGGGGAAUAUUGCACAAUGGAGGAAACUCUGAUGCAGCAACGCCGCGUGGAGGAUGACACAUUUCGGUGCGUAAACUCCUUUUAUAUAAGAAGAUAAUGACGGUAUUAUAUGAAUAAGCACCGGCUAACUCCGUGCCAGCAGCCGCGGUAAUACGGGGGGUGCAAGCGUUACUCGGAAUCACUGGGCGUAAAGCGAGCGCAGGCGGAUAGAUAAGUUGGAAGUGAAAUCCUAUGGCUUAACCAUAGAACUGCUUCCAAAACUGUUUAUCUAGAAUAUGGGAGAGGUAGAUGGAAUUUCUGGUGUAGGGGUAAAAUCCGUAGAGAUCAGAAGGAAUACCGAUUGCGAAGGCGAUCUACUGGAACAUUAUUGACGCUGAGGCUCGAAAGCGUGGGGAGCAAACAGGAUUAGAUACCCCCGUAGUC